AUGGCGCCGACAGAGAUGGCCGCCUCGCUUCACGUUCCUAGGAAACUAUGCAGUUUUUUGUUUUUUUACGUGUUAUUUCUUACAUUAGGACCCCAGGUCAUCUUAGGUUUCAUUACAUACAGUCGAGAAGAACUACUGAAUAUAAGAUCAGCGUCAACUCACCAUCAGUACAACCAAGAAUAUGAUUUUCUCGAAGCGGAUCCUGUGUUCUGCCUUUCAACCAGGACAACGGAAUGGAUCCCAGCCUGCGACCCAAAACAACGCCGUCGUAGAAGAGGGAAACGAGGCGGUCUUCUGGUCAGACUCCGGAGACGGGCACAUCGUGCACCACUCCCUAGCAUUCUUCUCGCCAAUGUCCAGUCUCUUGACAACAAGGUUGAUGAAAUCCGAGCAAGGGUAGCAUUCCAGAGGGACAUCAGAGACUGUAACGUUCUUUGCUUCACGGAAACAUGGCUCACUGGAGAGACGCUAUCGGAGGCGGUGCAGCCAGCGGGUUUCUCCACGCAUCGCGCCGACAGAAACAAACAUCUUUCUGGUAAGAAGAGGGGCGGGGGCGUAUGCCUUAUGGCUAACGAGACGUGGUGUGAUCACAGAAACAUACAGGAACUCAAAUCCUUCUGUUCACCUGAUUUAGAAUUCCUCACAAUCAAAUGUCGACCGCAUUAUCUACCAAGAGAAUUCUCUUCGAUUAUAAUCACAGCCGUAUAUAUCCCCCCCCAAGCAGACACAUCGAUGGCUCUGAACAAACUUUAUUUGACUCUUUGCAAACUGGAAUCCAUACAUCCUUUGGCUGCAUUCAUUGUAGCUGGGGAUUUUAACAAGGCUAAUCUGAAAACAAGACUCCCUAAAUUGUAUCAGCAUAUCGAUUGCGCAACCAGGGCUGGAAAAACCUUGGAUCAUUGUUAUUCUAACUUCCGCGACACAUAUAAGGCCCUGCCCCGCCAUCCUUUCGGAAAAGCUGACCACGACUCCAUUUUGCUGAUCCCUGCCUACAGACAGAAACUAAAACAAGAAGCUCCCACGCUGAGGUCUGUCCAACGCUGGUCCGACCAAGCUGAUUCCACACUCCAAGACUGCUUCCAUCACGUGGACUGGGAUAUGUUUCGUAUUGCGUCAGAUAACAACAUUGACGAAUACGCUGAUUCGGUGUGCGAGUUCAUUAGAACGUGCGUUGAAGAUGUCGUUCCCAUAGCAACGAUUAAAACAUUCCCUAACCAGAAACCGUGGAUUGAUGGCAGCAUUCGCGUGAAACUGAAAGCGCGAACCACUGCUUUUAGUCAGGGCAAGGUGACUGGUAGCAUGACCGAAUACAAACAGUGCAGCUAUUCCCUCCGCAAGGCUAUCAAACAAGCUAAGCGUCAGUAUAGAGACAAAGUAGAAUCUCAAUUCAACGGCUCAGACACAAGAGGUAUGUGGCAGGGUCUACAGUCAAUCACGGACUACAAGAAGAAAACCAGCCCAGUCACGGACCAGGAUGUCUUGCUCCCAGGCAGACUAAAUAACUUUUUUGCCCGCUUUGAGGACAAUACAGUGCCACUGACACGGCCUGCAACGAAAACAUGCGGACUCUCCUUCACUGCAGCCGAGGUGAGUAAAACAUUUAAACGUGUUAACCCUCGCAAGGCUGCAGGCCCAGACGGCAUCCCCAGCCGCGCCCUCAGAGCAUGCGCAGACCAGCUGGCGGUGUGUUUACGGACAUAUUCAAUCAAUCCCUAUACUAGUCUGCUGUUCCCACAUGCUUCAAGAGGGCCACCAUUGUUCCUGUUCCCAAGAAAGCUGAGGUAA
ensembl:lncRNA